GAUGAACGCUGGCGGCGUGCCUAAUACAUGCAAGUCGAGCGAACAGACGAGGAGCUUGCUCCUCUGACGUUAGCGGCGGACGGGUGAGUAACACGUGGAUAACCUACCUAUAAGACUGGGAUAACUUCGGGAAACCGGAGCUAAUACCGGAUAAUAUAUUGAACCGCAUGGUUCAAUAGUGAAAGACGGUUUUGCUGUCACUUAUAGAUGGAUCCGCGCCGCAUUAGCUAGUUGGUAAGGUAACGGCUUACCAAGGCAACGAUGCGUAGCCGACCGGAGAGGGUGAUCGGCCACACUGGAACGGAGACACGGUCCAGACUCCUACGGGAGGCAGCAGUAGGGAAUGUUCCGCAAUGGGCGAAAGCCUGACGGAGCAACGCCGCGUGAGUGAUGAAGGUCUUCGGAUCGUAAAACUCUGUUAUUAGGGAAGAACAAAUGUGUAAGUAACUAUGCACGUCUUGACGGUACCUAAUCAGAAAGCCACGGCUAACUACGUG
rnacentral:rRNA from 1 species